rnacentral:rRNA from 1 species
UACGAAGGACCCAAGCGUUAUCCGGAUUUAUUGGGUUUAAAGGGUGCGUAGGCGGAUUAUUAAGUCAGUGGUGAAAGCUCCCGGCUCAACCGGGAAAUUGCCAUUGAUACUGAUGAUCUUGAGUAUGAUUGAGGUGGGCGGAAUGUGUCAUGUAGCGGUGAAAUGCUUAGAUAUGACACAGAACACCGAUUGCGAAGGCAGCUCACUAAGUCAUAACUGACGCUGAGGCACGAAAGCGUGGGGAGCAAACAGG